AUUGAACGCUGGCGGCAGGCCUAACACAUGCAAGUCGAACGGUAACAGGAAGAAGCUUGCUUCUUUGCUGACGAGUGGCGGACGGGUGAGUAAUGUCUGGGAAACUGCCUGAUGGAGGGGGAUAACUACUGGAAACGGUAGCUAAUACCGCAUAACGUCGCAAGACCAAAGAGGGGGACCUUCGGGCCUCUUGCCAUCGGAUGUGCCCAGAUGGGAUUAGCUAGUAGGUGGGGUAACGGCUCACCUAGGCGACGAUCCCUAGCUGGUCUGAGAGGAUGACCAGCCACACUGGAACUGAGACACGGUCCAGACUCCUACGCGAGGCAGCAGUGGGGAAUAUUGCACAAUGGGCGCAAGCCUGAUGCAGCCAUGCCGCGUGUAUGAAGAAGGCCUUCGGGUUGUAAAGUACUUUCAGCGGGGAGGAAGGGAGUAAAGUUAAUACCUUUGCUCAUUGACGUUACCCGCAGAAGAAGCACCGGCUAACUCCGUG
rnacentral:rRNA from 1 species